UCUUCAGUGAGGUUAAUCCUUACCUGUUCCUCCGUAAGGAGAAACAGUACAUGAUGAAUGGAGGAGGCUGAUAUUUGAUUACAGCAGCUCCGCAUCUCCCGAGCAACAACACAACUCGGGAGUUGAUAUUCUGAU
rnacentral:snoRNA from 1 species